rnacentral:rRNA from 1 species
AUUGAACGCUGGCGGCAGGCCUAACACAUGCAAGUCGAGCGGAGCGGCGGACGGGUGAGUAAUGCCUAGGAAUCUGCCUGGUAGUGGGGGAUAACGUCCGGAAACGGGCGCUAAUACCGCAUACUAUCAGAUGAGCCUAGGUCGGAUUAGCUAGUUGGUGGGGUAAAGGCCUACCAAGGCGACGAUCCGUAACUGGUCUGAGAGGAUGAUCAGUCACACUGGAACUGAGACACGGUCCAGACUCCUACGGGAGGCAGCAGUGGGGAAUAUUGGACAAUGGGCGAAAGCCUGAUCCAGCCAUGCCGCGUGUGUGAAGAAGGUCUUCGGAUUGUAAAGCACUUUUGUUAGGGAAGCGGUACCUAAAGAAUAAGCACCGGCUAACUACGUGCCAGCAGCCGCGGUAAUUC